GACGAACGCUGGCGGCGUGCUUAACACAUGCAAGUCGAGCGGUAAGGCCCUUUCGGGGGUACACGAGCGGCGAACGGGUGAGUAACACGUGGGUGACCUGCCCUCAGCUCUGGGAUAAGCCUGGGAAACUGGGUCUAAUACUGGAUAUGACUCCACGGUGCAUGUCGUGGGGUGGAAAGCCUUGUGCGGCUGAGGAUGGGCCCGCGGCCUAUCAGCUUGUUGGUGGGGUGANGGCCUACCAAGGCGACGACGGGUAGCCGGCCUGAGAGGGCGACCGGCCACACUGGGACUGAGACACGGCCCAGACUCCUACGGGAGGCAGCAGUGGGGAAGUCUUGCGCAAUGGGCGAAAGCCUGACGCAGCGACGCCGCGUGAGGGAUGACGGCC
rnacentral:rRNA from 1 species